rnacentral:rRNA from 1 species
CUAGUUGGCGAGGGUAAACGGGCUCACCAAGGUGAUGAUGCAUAGCCGACCUGAGAGGGUAAUCGGCCACAUUGGGACUGAGACACGGCCCAAACUCCUACGGGAGGCAGCAGUAGGGAAUCUUCCGCAAUGGACGCAAGUCUGACGGAGCAACACCGCGUGAGUGAAGAAGGUUUUCGGAUCGUAAAACUCUGUUGUAAGAGAAGAACAAAUUGUAGAGUAACUGCUACAGUCUUGACGGUAUCUUACCAGAAAGCCACGGGCUAACUACGUGCCAGCAGCCGCGGUAAAU